rnacentral:rRNA from 1 species
AGUGAACGCUGGCGGCAGGCCUAACACAUGCAAGUCGAACGGCAGCGGGCAGUAGCAAUACUGUGCCGGCGAGUGGCGGACGGGUGAGGAAUACAUCGGAAUCUACCCUGUCGUGGGGGAUAACGUAGGGAAACUUACGCUAAUACCGCAUACGACCCACGGGUGAAAGCGGCGGACCGCAAGGCGUCGCGCGAUUGGAUGAGCCGAUGUCCGAGUAGCUAGUUGGCGGGGUAAAGGCCCACCAAGGCGACGAUCGGUAGCUGGUCUGAGAGGGUGAUCAGCCACACUGGAACUGAGACACGGGCCAGACUCCUACGGGAGGCAGCAGUGGGGAAUAUUGGACAAUGGGCGCAAGCCUGAUCCAGCCAUGCCGCGUGUGUGAAGAAGGCCUUCGGGUUGUAAAGCACUUUUGUUGGGGAAGAAAAGCAUCCGAUUAAUACCCGGGUGUUCUGACGGUACCCAAAGAAUAAGCACCGGCUAACUUCGUGCCAGCAGCCGCCGUAAUAC